CCUCAAUCUGCAUGCGUGAAGAAUGAAGAAUAGGGUAACAUUACUACCUAAUGCAUAUCUCAGAUGAAUAUCCUCAUGUCUGAUCUUUUUUCAUCACUCCUGUCUCUUCGGUCUCCAUAGAUGGAAAUGUACAACAACUGUCACUACUCACCAGGAAUGAAAUUGUUACAAUGAGGACCCGGUCAUGGUGUCUCGGACUAUGUGCAAGUAGUUAUCCUACGUCACAUUCUUCUCUGCCUAUGUCCUGCACAAAGAGCUACCCCCAUUCACCCUCACCCCUCAGUAUCCGACUCUUACCUCUCCUCCUCGUCUGUACAGUCCUGGAAUCCCUUACUUCUUUGUUGGAGAUUCUUCUCAGCCUUUUAAUGUCAAUACUCUUGAUGCCAAUGAGUGUCUGCUGUGUUUAUUACAUUCUGUCUUCUCUGCACCCAGAAUGGCCCCCACCUUCAAAUCCCACAUUGUAAGCAAGCCUUUGAGUAGCCAAAAGCUUGUUUGCAAAUUUUUCCAGCAAAUAGAUUUUUUUUCCACCUUUGGCUGAUGGCUUUUCCCUGAAGUAAACCAAGUGAUGUUUGUGCUCUAGUUUUAAUGGGACUUCACUUACGCUCACAUGAAGUGAAGGAAUGGCAAGUCGAAUAUACCAAAAAUGUCAAGCCAUGGAUACAAACAAAGAGCAAUGGAGACACACCAAGUAAAACAGGAGGAAGGUGAGAGGCAGAUGUGGAGAGAGAAAAUUGAUGUUUACUGCUGUGACUCCUGUAAGAAAAGCUUCACCCACAUUAUUUCAUGAACAUGUGAACAUCUGAGAGAAAUCACUUCAGAAGACAUUAUCUCCAUUGGAUCUAGUCCAUGGCCAUUGGCUUCCACUCCUGGCAUCUACAUGUUGAUAAAUGCAUGGCUGAUGUAAGUGUUAAUAGGCCCAGAGAGAAGAUGAGAUCAUAGUGACCUGAAUUCAAUUACCAAGUCAACUUACCUAGGUGAGCAGCUCUUCACAGAACAGAGCUUUACCAAAACUUGAAGCCAAACAGGAUACAGAAUCCUAACUCCUGAAAAGCCCCAGUAUUCAACUGUGGUCUGCGCUAAAGGUUUUGAGCUUAUUUAUUGUCCUCCUUCCUUGAAUAUUGCAUUCUCCCUUCAUUCCUCUCUGAUUUCACUCACCUUGUUUUCUUUCCUUCUCUCUCCUUUCUUGUUUUUUUUUUUUUUUGUUCAAAGUCUCAAAGGCAGCACAUACUGGUGAGGAUGUGGAGCAAGGGGGACACUCCUCCAUUGCUAGUGGGAGUGAAAACUUACAACCACUUUGCAA
rnacentral:lncRNA from 1 species